rnacentral:rRNA from 1 species
CCUACGGGUGGCAGCAGUGAGGAAUAUUGGUCAAUGGACGAGAGUCUGAACCAGCCAAGUAGCGUGAAGGAUGACUGCCCUAUGGGUUGUAAACUUCUUUUAUAUGGGAAUAAAAUGUUCCACGUGUGGGAUUUUGUAUGUACCAUAUGAAUAAGGAUCGGCCAAACUCGUGCCAGGCGCCGCGGUAAUACGGUGGGCCCGAGGGUUAUCCGGAAUUAUUGGGUUUAAAGGGAGCGUAGGUGGGUUGGUAAGUCAGGUGUGAAAUUUUGGGGGUCAACCGUAAAAUUGCAGUUGAAACUGGCAGUCUUGAGUACAGUAGAGGUGGGCGGAAUUCGUGGUGUAGCGGUGAAAUGCUUAGAUAUCACGAAGAACUCCGAUUGCGAAGGCAGCUCACUGGACUGCAACUGACACUGAGGCUCGAAAGUGUGGGUAUCAAACAGGAUUAGAUACCCGUGUAGUC